rnacentral:sRNA from 1 species
UGUCGGUGCCUUUCGGGGCAUUUCCUCCCUAGUCUUUGGCCGCGCUUUCUUCUUGGAGCGCGGCUCUUUUUAUAUGCAUU